rnacentral:tRNA from 1 species
GUCCCCGUAGCUCAGCAGGAUAGAGCAGUCGCCUCCUAAGCGACAGGUCGGACGUUCAAAUCGUCUCGGGGACGCCA